rnacentral:lncRNA from 1 species
GCUCCAGACCCCCGUGACCCUGACAAGUGCAAGUAGUUAACAAAAGUGAGUGAGUUACUGCAGGUACAGAUAUGUAUUAAAAAUUUGUAUCCCAUUGUCAUUGUCAAAAUAACCAGUCCUUAAUUUUAUCAGUGUUUGUGUGGCAGGGUGACCCAGAACCAAUGGGGUACCUGGGUGAGAGGGGCGCAAUGGGAAAGCUGGAGAGUGUGGACUUGAUGGUCUCCCAGGGCCAACGGGAAUGUGGGCCGCAGGACAUGGAGGAGAAUAGGACCCUCCGGGGGAGAAUGGCAAUGAGGGGCUAAAAGGAUUUACUGGACUUGUGGGACCAGUAGAAAAGACGGGACAGCAUGCAAGUAGCCUGACGUCAGUUACUUAAAAACCAUAUUAAAGA